rnacentral:lncRNA from 1 species
AAAAACAUAGUGUAUCUAACAAUACCCAACAUGAAAAUAUUAAUUACAAGGGGAUUUAAUCUAGAUCAAACCCAAAACAACAACUUAAAGUCCAAGCACAACAUGAUUCCCAAAGUCCAACAGUCCACAAUUGACUACAACAUGAUAAUUAAUCAGCAUCAGCUAGACUAACUACAUUUGAAUCAAAUGUUUAACACAUAAACAUCAUAAAGGAACAGAAUCAUAGCAAAAUCAAAAUUAUUAACAGAACUCAGCACUUCCUUUCAUUUCACCUUCAAAUUGAGUUUACAUCAUGGGAAAUUCUGAGUUUGUACCUGGAAAAUGAGAAGGAGAAAGGUGGUUAUUGUAAGCAAACGAAAGCAGCAUCUCUCAAUACCCCAGAGAUGAACCAACAGACUGAUUUUGAAACCAAAAUGCAAUGCAACAGUUCAAAUGCCAAUUUCGGACUCAAUAAAUCAACAGACCCCAAGCCAAACUUGAAUUUAGCCAAGCUUUGAACCAUUUCAGAGGAAGAAACAAAAUCGAUUUUAAGAGUGAUAAUUCUUCAAAUUGAGACCCAAAUCCCAAUGGAACAGUAGCAGCCUUUUUCUGUAUUUUUUUUUUCUCCCUU